rnacentral:rRNA from 1 species
GACGAACCGUACAAACGUUAUUCGGAAUCACUGGGCUUAAAGGGUGCGUAGGCGGUGCAGAAAGUUGGGUGUGAAAUCCCUCGGCUCAACCGAGGAAUUGCGCCCAAUACUACUGUGCUAGAGGGAGAUAGAGGUGAGUGGAACUUAGGGUGGAGCGGUGAAAUGCGUUGAUAUCCUAAGGAACACCAGUGGCGAAAGCGACUCACUGGAUCUCUUCUGACGCUGAGGCACGAAAGCUAGGGGAGCGAACGGG